UGCCGUGUGGCCUAAUGGAUAAGGCGUCGGUCUCCUAAACCGAAGGCUGCAGGUUCGAGUUCUGCCUCGGUCG
rnacentral:tRNA from 1 species